UACGAAGGGGGCUAGCGUUGUUCGGAAUCACUGGGCGUAAAGCGCACGUAGGCGGAUUCUUAAGUCAGGGGUAAAAUCCCGAGGCUCAACCUCGGAACCGCCUUUGAUACUGGGGAUCUCGAGUCCGGGAGAGGUGAGUGGAAUUGCGAGUGUAGAGGUGAAAUUCGUAGAUAUUCGCAAGAACACCAGUGGCGAAGGCGGCUCACUGGCCCGGAACUGACGCUGAGGUGCGAAAGCGUGGGGAGCAAACAGG
rnacentral:rRNA from 1 species